rnacentral:rRNA from 1 species
AUGCGCGAGCACACGCGUCCGCGGCGCCGGCCACGCGUCCGCGGCGAUGACAGCUCGGCACCUCGCCCCUCUGCCUAUAUAAGGCCACCCAAGCCUCUCCCGAGCACUCCAUCGCCUUUGCCUCAUAUCCAGAAACCUCCCUGGCCUCUCCCUCGAGCUACAGAGCCCCUCCCCACCUCUCUCUGCCGCCAUGGCCGCCGUCGGGCUCCGCUUGAAUCCGAGCACCCCCGGUCUCCUCCCCUCCUGCUUCCACCUCAAGAGGCCCCCAUCCACACGCCGGAGCCGCUCGAGCCCUCUCCCUCCUCCUCUGGUGGCUGUUGGCCGCGAGCCCCAUCGGUGCCCGUCGCCACCGUCCCCCAUGUCCUCACUCCCUCUCGCCUCAGUCGUCCCCGGAGCCCGUGCUCUCCGCAGACGGGUGCGGCUACUCCUGCUGAGCUCGCCCAUAGGUCGAGCGAGGCGGGGGAUGGUCGGAGCCGGCCGGACGAGCCCCUGCGCCGGCGACCUCCUUCUGGACCGUGGGCGAGUGCAGGCGAGGCGAAGACGACGUUGACCCCAUCCAUGGGCCCCGCCUAUCGGCCUCUCUGCGCUGACCGGGCCGGCCUGCUGAUGUGGUUAAGUGGAGGCGUACUCCCCGGAGUACGUCUUCGCUUAACAAAAGCGCAAUCAGUUUCUUCCUCAGGCGAAAAUGCGUUUUCCCUUCUGGAAAACGUAUUUUCAAAAAAGGGGCGUUCUGUUUUUCCUGCUGAGGGCCUGUUUGUGAUGAUUUUAUUACAGAUAGGUCCCUGGCAGAAAACCCUUAUAACUUUUUGCUCGCAACUCCGUUUGAGCCCCCUCCGAGAGAGAUCUGAUUCCCGCGUUUCUUUCCGCAAGCUUCUCGCACUUUGUCCCGGUGAUUUCUUCCACCCCAGUUUGCAGGUCGUGCCUGGAUUGCUUGCUUGUUUGGUGUUGUUCCUGUGUUCGCGAGCUAGGAUAAGUGUUCCAGCCAGAGUCCCUGCGGAUUGGAGUCCAUCAUCGUUGUCGUUGUUCCGCUGCCAGUAG